GAACAAUCAAGAUGGACGAAUAUAUUUGAAAAUAGGUAAUAGGUGUCAAAACAGAAAGUUUUAAAUGACAAACUAUAGAAAAAAUAUGUAUUGAAAUUCAGAUCCCGUAAUUUUUAUAGCAUUAUAAAUUAAGGUGCCGUUCGGUGAGGCCUACAAUACAAGAUAGAUAAACAAUAACUAAAACAUAUAGAAUCAUGUUUAAUAAAACUGAAG
rnacentral:lncRNA from 1 species